UGGGGUGUGGCUUAGCGGUAAAGCACUUGCCUCCCACGUGUGAGGCACUGGGUUCAAUCCUCAGAACCACAU
rnacentral:tRNA from 1 species